rnacentral:rRNA from 1 species
UACGUAGGGGGCUAGCGUUGUCCGGAUUUAUUGGGCGUAAAGAGCGUGUAGGCGGCCAGAUAGGUCUGCUGUGAAAACUCGAGGCUCAACCUCGAGCUGUCGGCGGAAACCAUUUGGCUAGAGUCCGGAAGAGGAAAGUGGAAUUCCUGGUGUAGCGGUGAAAUGCGCAGAUAUCAGGAAGAACACCCGUGGCGAAGGCGGCUUUCUGGGACGGUACUGACGCUGAGACGCGAAAGCGUGGGGAGCAAACGGG